rnacentral:rRNA from 1 species
GUAGUCCGCACGGUAAACGAUGGAUGCCCGCUGUUGGUCUGAAUAGGUCAGCGGCCAAGCGAAAGCAUUAAGCAUCCCACCUGGGGAGUACGCCGGCAACGGUGAAACUCAAAGGAAUUGACGGGGGCCCGCACAAGCGGAGGAACAUGUGGUUUAAUUCGAUGAUACGCGAGGAACCUUACCCGGGCUUGAAUUGCAGAGGAAGGAUUUGGAGACAAUGACGCCCUUCGGGGCCUCUGUGAAGGUGCUGCAUGGUUGUCGUCAGCUCGUGCCGUGAGGUGUCGGCUUAAGUGCCAUAACGAGCGCAACCCCUCUCCUUAGUUGCCAUCAGGUUAAGCUGGGCACUCUGG